rnacentral:rRNA from 1 species
UGGGGAAUAUUGGACAAUGGGGGCAACCCUGAUCCAGCAAUGCCGCGUGUGUGAAGAAGGCCUGCGGGUUGUAAAGCACUUUAGGUUGGGAAGAAAAAGCACAUGCUAAUACCAUGUGAAAUUGACGUUACCAACGGAAUAAGCACCGGCUAACUCUGUGCCAGCAGCCGCGGUAAUACA